rnacentral:rRNA from 1 species
ACACGUAGGGGGCGAGCGUUGUUCGGAAUUACUGGGCGUAAAGGGCGCGUAGGCGGCGCGGUAAGUCUGGAGUGAAAGUCCUGCUUUCGAGGUGGGAAUUGCUUUGGAUACUGCCGCGCUUGAGUGCAGGAGAGGUUAUCGGAAUUCCCGGUGUAGCGGUGAAAUGCGUAGAGAUCGGGAGGAACACCAGUGGCGAAGGCGACUUACUGGGCCGUAACUGACGCUGAGGCGCGAAAGCGUGGGGAGCGAACAGGAUUAGAUACCCUGGUAGUCCACGCUGUAAACGAUGAAUGCUAGGUGUAGGGGGUAUCGACCCCUCCUGUGCCGGAGUAAACGCAAUAAGCAUUCCGCCUGGGGAGUACGGCCGCAAGGUUGAAACUCAAAG